rnacentral:rRNA from 1 species
CGUAGGGUGCGAGCGUUAAUCGGAAUUACUGGGCGUAAAGCGUGCGCAGGCGGUCUUGUAAGCCAGAUGUGAAAUCCCCGGGCUUAACCUGGGAACUGCAUUUGGGACUGCAAGGCUGGAGUACGGCAGAGGGAGGUGGAAUUCCACGUGUAGCAGUGAAAUGCGUAGAGAUGUGGAGGAACACCGAUGGCGAAGGCAGCCUCCUGGGCUAGUACUGACGCUCAUGCACGAAAGCGUGGGGAGCAAACAGGAUUAGAUACCCUGGUAGUCCACGCCCUAAACGAUGACAACUAGUUGUUGGGGAUUUAACAUCCUUAGUAACGCAGCUAACGCGUGAAGUUGUCCGCCUGGGGAGUACGGUCGCAAGAUUA